AUGCUGGCUUUGGGAGCACUUAUACUCAAAUUGGAAUCAUACAGAGAAGUGUAUCAUGGCCCCUAUGCAAAGAUACAUGAAGUAGUCUGUAUUUAA
rnacentral:snRNA from 1 species